GUUGGUGAACCAGCGGAGGGAUCAUUACAGAGUUAUACAACUCCCAUACCAUCUGUUAACCUACCCAGUUAUGCCUCGGCGUAAGCUCGGUUGGAGGCACCUGCAGCUACCCUGUAGUUGCGGACUGCCAACUCCAGCCGCGGCCCGCCGGCGGUACACUAAACUCUGUUUUAUUUUAUAUUCUGAGCGUCUUAUUUUAAUAAGUUAAAACUUUCAACAACGGAUCUCUUGGUUCUG
rnacentral:misc_RNA from 1 species